rnacentral:rRNA from 1 species
GUCUAUGGCCAUACCACCCUGAACGCGCCCGAUCUCAUCUGAUCUCGGAAGCUAAGCAGGGUUGGGCCUGGUUAGUAUUUGGAUGGGAGACCGCCUUGGAAUACCGGGUGCUGUAGGCU